CCUACGGGUGGCAGCAGUGAGGAAUAUUGGUCAAUGGACGAGAGUCUGAACCAGCCAAGUAGCGUGAAGGAUGACUGCCCUAUGGGUUGUAAACUUCUUUUAUAAAGGAAUAAAACGAGGCACGUGUGCCUUUUUGCAUGUACUUUAUGAAUAAGGAUCGGCUAACUCCGCGACAGCAGCCGCGGUAAUACGGAGGAUCCGAGCGUUAUCCGGAUUUAUUGGGUUUAAAGUGAGCGUAUAUGGGUUGGUACGUCAGUUGUGAAAGUUUGCGGCUCAACCGUAAAAUUGCAAUUGAUACUGGCAGUCUUGAGUACAGUUCAGGUAGGCGGAAUUCGUGGUGCAGCCGUGAAAUGCUUAGAUAGCACGAAGAACCCCGAGUGCGAAGGCAGCUUACUAAACUGUGACUGACAUUGAUGCUCGAAAGUGUGGGUAUCAAACAGGAUUAGAUACCCGAGUAGUC
rnacentral:rRNA from 1 species